rnacentral:lncRNA from 1 species
AUGGAGGAGAAAUGUGAUGACCUCAACUCUAGGCACCCGAAAUUCAAGAAAACAACAUACCGUUUUUUGGUGGGUGAUGCCUGUGUGGUCAUUGAAUUCCUUUCUUUUCAGCCUACCACCCACAGUCUUGAAUUGCUUCCUGGGAUGACAGCCUCCCCAAUAGUCACUGUGCCCUCGAUCCUGCACGCCCUAGUAAGGCCAUGGGGACAGGCGGCCGGAUUACACCCUACUGGGGAGUCUUCUUGCUCUCCCCCGAAGACUCAGGGAUGGGUUUGCCAUACCUGCCCUAGAAAGAAACAUGGAGACUUAACAUUAAAGGGAGGUAAAAUUUGCUCCCCCUCAUACUGCCUCCAUGAGGUCGCGGGUAGGACAAGGAGGAGGCUGUGCGGAUGCUCCAAACGCUGGUGUAACCUGGAUGGAAUAUUGGGCUUCCUGUCCCUGGUAAGGAAUGCGGGGUGUUGCCUGCUCAUGGGCUGGAAUCUUACCUGUGACCUUCACUUGUGUAGGUCCAGGCCUCUGCUCAGACAGCAGAGUGGGGUCUGAAAACAAACAAGAGCUGAUCCCGGAGGGACAGGUCUCUGAAAAUCAAGCUGUAAA